UGUUGCAUGGCUGUCGUCAGCUCGUGUCGUGAGAUGUUCGGUUAAGUCCGCUAACGAGCGCAACCCUCGCCGUAUGUUACAAGUGUCAUACGGGACUGCCGGUAAAAAGCCGGAGGAAGGUGAGGAUGAUGUCAAGUCAGCAUGACCUUUAUAUCCAGGGCUACACACACGCUACAAUGGUCUGUACAAUUGGUUGCCAAGCCGCGAGGCGGAGCCAAUCCGUAAAGCAGGCCUCAGUUCAGAUUGCAGUCUGCAACUUGACUGCAUGAAGCCGGAGUUGCUAGUAACCGCAGGUCAGCAUACUGCGGUGAAUCCGUUCCCGGGCCUU
rnacentral:rRNA from 1 species